UACGAAGGGGGCUAGCGUUGCUCGGAAUCACUGGGCGUAAAGCGCACGUAGGCGGCUUUCUAAGUCAGGGGUGAAAUCCCGGAGCUCAACUCCAGAACUGCCUUUGAUACUGGAGAGCUUGAGUCCGGAAGAGGUGAGUGGAACUCCGAGUGUAGAGGUGAAAUUCGUAGAUAUUCGGAAGAACACCAGUGGCGAAGGCGGCGCACUGGUCCGGUACUGACGCUGAGGUGCGAAAGCGUGGGGAGCAAACAGG
rnacentral:rRNA from 1 species